rnacentral:tRNA from 1 species
UGACAGGUGGGCGAGCGGUCGAAGCCACGAGACUCAUAAUCUCGUUUGCAAAAGCACACGUUGGUUCAAAUCCAACCCUGUCGA